GGCUAUCUCUGGGUGUGACAAAGGGCCACUUUAACAAUUACAGUUGUGAAGGUGGAAAUACACGAGAAGGGCUUUCCCGGUGGCUCAGCGGUAAAGAAUCCGCCUAUAACGCAGGAGCUGCAGGAGAUGCGGGUUCAAUCCCUGAGUUAGGAAUGUCCCCUGCAGGAGGGCAUGACAACCCACACCAGUGUUCUUGCCUGGGAAAUCCCAUGGACAGAGGACCCUGGUGUGCUGCAGUCCACGGGUUGCAAAGAGUAGGACACGACUGAGUGACUAAGCUCUCACACGAGAAACGCUUACAUGUCAAGUGAAGAGAUAGAACACGGCAGCAUAUAGAUAUUACGCUUAUCAAGGAAUCCAGAAGCCAUAAAAGCAAAGAUAUGCGUAUUUGACUACUUGACAUUCUAAGUUUUAAGACAAAAAACACUUUAAAAGUUAGAAGACAAAGGAUAGAGCAGAAAAAAAUGAUACUGUCUACAACAGAAGUUAAGAUCUAUAGUAAACAAAGCAUUCCUACAAAUUAAAAUCCAAUAGAAAAACAAGUCAGUGGUCUGACAGAUAAUCCAUAAAAGAGAGAACGCAAGAAGCACAACCCCAGAGCUUCCCUGGUGGCUCAGUUGUAAAGAGACAGCCUGCCAACGCAGGAGACAUGGGCCAUAUCCCUGAUCUGGGAAGAUCCCACAGGCUGGGGACCAACGAGGACCCUGCGCCACCACCACUGAGCCUGCUCUCUAAAGCCCAAGCCCCACACCAAGCCCACAUGCCACCACUGCUGCAGAGGGAGCGCCCCAGAGCCCGCGCGCUGCAACAAGAGAGAGGUUCACACGCUGCAGCUCCCUGCAACGAGGACCCAGCACAGCCAUAAACAAAUAAAUGAAAACAGAAGAAGCACACUCUCGGCACUCAAGGAAAUGCAAACUCAGGCAGCAACAGCAGCCUCAUUUUCAUCUGAGGAGUUGGCAAAAACUGAAAAGAAUAACACCCAGUGCCUGUAGAGAUUCUGAGAAAAAGACAUUCCUGUUCAUUGCUGGUAGGAAUGUGGCCAGCUGUGACUUUUCUGGAAAGGAACUUGGUUCUCUGAAAACCACACUUGACAGCAAAAAGGAAGAAACUUCUGACAUUAGCUAUGAGGUGGAUGAGUGUCCAGGAUGUUGGGCCAAGUGGACAAGCCAGACCUGGGCGAGACACGCAGGGAAAUCUCAGUGCUGGUCAUCAUCGGAAACCGUCUCAUCUGCAUAUGGACUAUUUGAGAGCCCUCAGAAGCAAGAGCUCACCUGUCUCGUCCAUACCAAAUCCUCAGCAUCUGCACUCCCGAGAAAGUGAAAGUGAAGUCGCUCAGUCGUGUCGGACUCUUUGCGACCCCAUGGACACCAGGCUCCUCCUUCCAUGGGAUUUUCUAGGCAAGAGUACUGGAGUGGGUUGCCUUUUCCUUCUCCAGGGAACUUCCCGACCCUGGGAUCGAACCCAGGUCUCAGGCAUAGACAGACACUUUACCGUCUGAGCCACCAGGGAAGUCUCUGCACUCCCGAGAAAUACUUGUUAAAUGAAUGAAUGAUUGAAGUCCUUCAUGGUGUCUUCCUAACUGAAAGGAGAGCUUCAUCCUGGGUGAUCCAUGGCAGUUUAUUUACUGCUGUAUGCAGGGCUUUUCCUGGUUGUGGUGGGUCCAUGCAUUGGUGGUCUCCACUGACUUUCAGCCCUCUUCCUCGCAUGUAAAUUCCCGGAUUGGACACAUAACUAACAUGCUUUGGCCAAUGGGAUGGUAGCAGGUGUGCUGGGCACAGAGCCUUGAUAAAUAUUUGAAUGCUGGGGUCUGUCCUCUUGGGACAUUGUCUCUUGAAGUCCUGAGUUACUCUGUAAAGAGGUCUAGCUGCUGUGCUGACAUGGGGCACAAGUGUUCCAGUCAUCCCCUCGUUCCAGCCACCUCAGCUGAAGCCCCAGAAGUCUGAGUGAAGAUGCUCUUUGGAACCUUCCACCCCAGGAGACACCUGGCAGGGUGGAAGAACCACCCAGCUGAGCCCAGCCCAGAGCGCAGAGCCAGGGGAAGUAUGCAGUCACGUUUUAAACAAGCUUGACAUGCUGACUUCAGCAAGAAGUAGCUGAAAUACCAGUUUACUUUCCAUUUUGAAUGGCUGUGCGAGUCCACAACUCAGAAACCGAGGUGGCAAAGGCUGCAACACGGUUAGCUUUGCUUUUGCACUUUGCCCCGCAUCCCACACAAGUCAGUCAAUAGUUCGUUGAGCAGUUUAUUGAACUCUCCAUGCUAAUCUCUGUGCUACUUAAGUGUGUGAUGCAGAGGGUGCUGGUCGUUUUCUCCACAAUCUUU
rnacentral:lncRNA from 1 species